UACGGGGGGGGCAAGCGUUGUUCGGAAUUACUGGGCGUAAAGGGCUCGUAGGUGGCCAACUAAGUCAUACGUGAAAUCCCUCGGCUUAACCGGGGAACUGCGUCUGAUACUGGAUGGCUUGAGUUCGGGAGAGGGAUGCGGAAUUCCAGGUGUAGCGGUGAAAUGCGUAGAUAUCUGGAGGAACACCGGUGGCGAAGGCGGCAUCCUGGACCGACACUGACACUGAGGAGCGAAAGCGUGGGGAGCAAACAGG
rnacentral:rRNA from 1 species